UACGUAGGGUGCGAGCGUUAAUCGGAAUUACUGGGCGUAAAGCGUGCGCAGGCGGUUUGUUAAGACAGAUGUGAAAUCCCCGGGCUUAACCUGGGAACUGCAUUUGUGACUGGCAAGCUAGAGUAUGGCAGAGGGGGGUAGAAUUCCACGUGUAGCAGUGAAAUGCGUAGAGAUGUGGAGGAAUACCGAUGGCGAAGGCAGCCCCCUGGGCCAAUACUGACGCUCAUGCACAAAAGCGUGGGGAGCAAACAGG
rnacentral:rRNA from 1 species